rnacentral:lncRNA from 1 species
UUUUUGAGCUGUGACUCAUAUUUAGAAGUUGGCACAUAAGUGAAGACAAAUAAUAUAUCAUCUUACCUGACUAAAAACAGUGACUUCCUUAUUCACUGGAAGAACUGAAGACUGCACCCAAAAUUCACAGAAAUAUAUAGCUAGGCACUGCGACAGGGAGUGAAAUCAGCAGGCAAGGAUCCAGCCUGAUACUCCCAGGGCCUAACCACAAAGGUCACAAGGCAGCCAUUGGACUCAGCAUGUUCACUUUUCCAGCGGAAGGGGACAAAGUUUAAACUAACAGAAUGUGUCACUGGAAGGCACUUCAGAGAUCAUUUAGACCGGUGCUCCUCAGACUUAAAUGUGCACGUGUGGAAACUGAAGUCCAGAGAGGUGAAGUGAUUUCUCCAAAGCCGCACAGAUCAAGUUAAAGGAGUCUUUGGGGGCCCAGACCAGUGUUUGUUUAAUUAUAAAAUGGCUGGGCUUAGUAAAACAGAGGUAUACCCCCCUUUCUUAAAGUCUCAUGGCACGAGGAGGGAGAGCCGAG